UGCUGACAGUGAGGACAAGGUUCCUGACGGUGAGGGCAAGGUUCCUGACGGUGAGGUCAGGAACCUUGUCGUCACCGUCAGCAACCUUGUCGUCACCG